GAUGAACGCUGGCGGCGUGCCUAAUACAUGCAAGUCGAGCGAAUGGAUUAAGAGCUUGCUCUUAUGAAGUUAGCGGCGGACGGGUGAGUAACACGUGGGUAACCUGCCCAUAAGACUGGGAUAACUCCGGGAAACCGGGGCUAAUACCGGAUAACAUUUUGAACCGCAUGGUUCGAAAUUGAAAGGCGGCUUCGGCUGUCACUUAUGGAUGGACCCGCGUCGCAUUAGCUAGUUGGUGAGGUAACGGCUCACCAAGGCAACGAUGCGUAGCCGACCUGAGAGGGUGCUCGGCCACACUGGGACUGAGACACGGCCCAGACUCCUACGGGAGGCAGCAGUAGGGAAUCUUCCGCAAUGGACGAAAGCCUGACGGAGCAACGCCGCGUGAGUGAUGAAGGCUUUCGGGUCGUAAAACUCUGUUGUUAGGGAAGAACAAGUGCUAGUUGAAUAAGCUGGCACCUUGACGGUACCUAACCAGAAAGCCACGGCUAACUACGUGCCAGCCGCCGCCGUAA
rnacentral:rRNA from 1 species